rnacentral:tRNA from 1 species
GGGGAUGUAGCUCAGUGGGAGAGCACUUGACUGGCAGUCAAGGGGUCGAGGGUUCAAUCCCCUCUAUCUCCACCA